rnacentral:rRNA from 1 species
CCUACGGGUGGCAGCAGUGAGGAAUAUUGGUCAAUGGACGAGAGUCUGAACCAGCCAAGCAGCGUGAAGGAUUACUGCCCUAUGGGUUGUAAACUUCUUUUAUAUGGGAAUAAAAUGUUCCACGUGUGGGAUUUUGUAUGUACCAUAUGAAUAAGGAUCGGCCAACUCCGUUCCAGCAGCCGCGGUAAUACGGAGGAUCCGAGCGUUAUCCGGAUUUAUUGGGUUUAAAGGGAGCGUAGGUGGAUUGUUAAGUCAGUUGUGAAAGUUUGGGGCUCAACUGUAAAAUUGCAGUUGAAACUGGCAGUCUUGAGUACAGUAGAGGUGGGCGGAAUUCGUGGUGUAGCGGUGAAAUGCGUAGAUAUCACGAAGAACCCCGGUGGCGAAGGCAGCCUGCCGGAGCGUUACUGACGCUGAGGCUCGAAAGCGCGGGUAGCGAACAGGAUUAGAUACCCGAGUAGUC